rnacentral:rRNA from 1 species
UACGAGGGGGGCGAGCGUUGUUCGGAAUUAUUGGGCGUAAAGGGCGCGUAGGCGGUCGGAUAAGUCUUGUGUGAAAUCUUCGGGCUCAACUCGAAGUCUGCACAGGAAACUAUCUGGCUUGAGUGUGGGAGAGGUGAGUGGAAUUCCUGGUGUAGCGGUGAAAUGCGUAGAUAUCAGGAGGAACACCUGUGGCGAAAGGCGGCUCACUGGACCACAACUGACGCUGAGGCGCGAAAGCUAGGGGAGCAAACAGG